CAUAAGCUUCUACAAAUAGUGGCCCCAGUUGUGCAGAUAUCGCAUUCUCAGGCUGAACUUGCUCCAGUUUCUCGAGAAAAAACUUUACAUCUGCUAGAUGCUCUGCAGCAUCAUACAAUUGCUUAAUUGUCCAACUAUCUACAAGCUCCGUCAUGUUCUGACACUCCCUGGCCAUCUACUUUCCACCUUUUUAGUUUCCUUGAAUUGUUGUUCGUAAUGAAUCCUGCAAGUAACAAAAUCAAUAUUUUCGGAGCAUGACACUACAAUAUUUCAUGCAGUUUACUGAUUCCAUUACGGCAUUACCCUUAAAACGGCAAAGAUUCCACCAUUUACAAUUUAAACUUUUACCCAUUUUUUUUAAUCUUUACAAGUGCAUCAAGGGCCUAGAUGUUACAAGUAUACACCAAACAAAGUUGGGAUACCUUUGCAAUUAUCUGUUUUCCAAUUUCCAAGAGCAAAUCAGGGGUGAAAAUCUCCAUUAUAAUCUAUUUGCGACAACUGUGUGCAGCUGCAGCUAAAAUAUGGUCAAAGAAGUGUCUUGUCUCAACCUUUGGACUCUUUCAAGAACUUUGGUAAUUAUGGUUCCUACCCUAUACAGUGGCCAGAGGAAUUUGGAACAUGUAAGGUGGGGGUGACCAACUUAUAACUUUUUUGUUGAUUUAAACUUAUAAGCACUUUGGAUGUUUACCAAACCCGUAGAUACACGAAAAGGUGCUUGUGAGCCAAUUUGACCUGCUUAUAGUCAACCAAACAUCCUCUCACUCAUCAAUACUUUUGUACUUUGCAUCCUAUGGAUGCCUCUUAUUAAUAACACUUAUAGUUUACCUUAUAAAAUGAAACAUCUUAGGUACUAAAAGCUACGAGCAAAACAUAAUAAAUUGGUAAAGAAAGAUAUUGACCUUGGUAACUUCAGCAGAGGUGAUCGGAGUAAAAGCUUCAAGAAGCAAGAGCCAGUCUUGUAUCUCCAACCUAUCACCCCAUAAGAAAAGUGCAUUUCUCAAGAAUCACACAAAAGAGAACAAGAUAUCCGAAACUUUUGGUUUUCUCAUUUCUUUUCUACUUUCCAUCAGAGUAAAGUAUUACAUAGUGGCGCAGCCAGAAAUUCUAACAAGAGAAUUCAGAAACAUGCAACUUGUACAAUGAGUGAGCACAGUUAGGGAGAUUCAACAGUUCAUUUAUAUACAACAACAACAACCAAAAAAAAAAACGAGUGGAAGUCCAAAUGUGGGGUAUGGGGAGGUAGGUAUAUGCAGACCUUAUCCUCGAGAUCUUUACACAUAUAGUUUGUCAUAUUCCUUAUUUAUUUUUUUUAGCCAUAUACAUACAUUAUACAUUAAUUAUAUACAUAUAAUACAUAAAUAAAUUAUGCAUAUAUUAUACCUGUAUCAGUUAUUUUUAGUUUACGUGGUCGGGUGAGCGGCUAUUUAGGUAAAUUCUUACUUAUCCUACCUUACGAAGUUAGAGUUAUAUUUACAAAAUAAUUUAUGUUUAGCUUGUUUGUAUAGUGUAAAAUGAAGAAAAGAAAGACACUGCUACAACUUACUUUCAUAUUGGUGGAAGGAAACCCAAUAUCAAACACCUUUGUACAGUGAUUGAAGUGCUCAAACGCCCAAGACACAAAAUCCAGCGCCUGAACCUAACAAUGUAAAAGGAGGGAAAGUAAUAUGUUUACUUUAUUUUUGAUAAAAUUAAAAAAAAAAAAAAAGAGCUUAUUCCCGAUAUAGUUCAUAAGAACCGAGACUAAUGAAGAAGACUUGACCAGUG
rnacentral:lncRNA from 1 species